rnacentral:rRNA from 1 species
GGGAAAGGUGAAAAGUACCCUGAAUAAGGGGGUGAAAUAGUACCUGAAACCUUGCGCUUACAAGCGGUCGGAGGUUCUUCGUGAACUGACGGCGUGCCUUUUGCAUAAUGAGCCUACGAGUUACUCUUCACUGGCAAGGUUAAAAAUUUUUGAUUUGGAGCCGGAGCGAAAGCGAGUCUUAACAGGGCGUUCAGUCAGUGGAGGUAGACGCGAAACCUAGUGAUCUACCCAUGGUCAGGGUGAAUUUAUGGUAAAACAUAAUGGAGGCCCGAACCAGUAUACGUUGAAAAGUAUUUGGAUGAACUGUGGGUAGGGGUGAAAGGCCAAUCAAACUAGGAGAUAGCUCGUACUCCCCGAAAUGCUUUUAGGAGCAGCGUGAAUUAAUAAUCUAACAGAGGUAGAGCUACCGAUUGGACUAGGGGGAGUCAAAUCCUACCAAAUCCAGACGAACUCCGAAUGCUGCUAGAUGUUUAUUUGCAGUGAGGGCAUGGGUGCUAAGGUCCAUGUCCAAGAGGGAAACAACCCGGAUCCUCAGCUAAGGUCCCUAAAUCUAUACUAAGUUGAUCUAAGGUAGUUCAAUUACUCAGACAGCCAGGAUGUUGGCUUGGAAGCAGCCAUUCAUUUAAAGAGUGCGUAACAGCUCACUGGUCGAGCGAUAGAGCAUCAAUGAUAAUCGGGCAUAAAGUAUAGUACCGAAGCUAGGAACUCUACGGAGUGGUAGGGGAGCAUUCUAUUUGCAUCGAAGAAAAAUCGUAAGGUUUUUUGGAGCGCAUAGAAUAGAAAAUGUAGGCAUAAGUAACGAUAAUGCAGGUGAGAAACCUGCACACCGAAAGACUAAGGUUUCCUGAACAACGCUAAUCGGUUCAGGGUUAGUCGGGACCUAAGGCAAACCCGAAUGGGGUAGUCGAUGGACAAUCAGUUAAUAUUCUGAUACUACCAUUAUCAGUGAUGGAGUGACGAAGUAGUGAAAGAUCCGCGUACUGACGGAAUAGUACGUUGAAGCGAGUAGGUAUAAGUUUUGUUGGCAAAUCCGCAAGACUUGCUGAACGUGAUAGUACCACAAACCUUCGGGCGAGUGGAUAGUGAUCCUAAUCAGACUUCCAAGAAAAACUUCUAAACUUAUGAUAUUGGUACCCGUACCGUAAACCGACACAGGUAGUCGAGGAGAGAAUCCUAAGGUGCUCGAGUGAUUCAUGGCCAAGGAACUAGGCAAAAUAGUCCUGUAACUUCGGGAGAAAGGACGCCUCCCUCUUCGGAGGAGGCCGCAGUGAAUAGGCCCAGGCGACUGUUUAUCAAAAACACAUGGCAUUGCAAAUUCGAAAGAAAAAGUAUAAUGCCUGACACCUGCCCGGUGCUGGAAGGUUAAGGAGAGAUGUUAGAAAUUUAUUUCAAAGCAUUGAACUGAAGCCCCAGUAAACGGCGGCCGUAACUAUAACGGUCCUAAGGUAGCGAAAUUCCUUGUCGGGUAAGUUCCGACCUGCACGAAUGGUGCAACGAUCUGGAUACUGUCUCGGCCACGAGCUCGGUGAAAUUGUAGUUCCGGUGAAGAUGCCGGAUACCCGCAACGGGACGGAAAGACCCCGUGAACCUUUACUAUAGCUUCACAUUGGCAUUGGGUAAAUAAUGUGUAGGAUAGGAGGGAGACUUUGAAGCAGUGUCGCUAGGCAUUGUGGAGUCGUUGGUGAAAUACCUCCCUUUAUUUAUCUGAUGCCUAACCCUUCACAGGGGACAUUGUGUGGUGGGUAGUUUGACUGGGGUGGUCGCCUCCAAAAGAGUAACGGAGGCUUUCAAAGGUACCCUCAGCAUGUUUGGUAAUCAUGCGUGGAGCGCAAUAGCAUAAGGGUGCUUGACUGUGAGGCCUACAAGCCGAGCAGGGUCGAAAGACGGAUAUAGUGAUCCGGUGGUUCUGCAUGGAAGGGCCAUCGCUCAAAGGAUAAAAGGUACUCCGGGGAUAACAGG